rnacentral:rRNA from 1 species
GGUUAAGCGACUAAGCGUACACGGUGGAUGCCCUGGCAGUCAGAGGCGAUGAAGGACGUGCUAAUCUGCGAAAAGCGUCGGUAAGGUGAUAUGAACCGUUAUAACCGGCGAUGUCCGAAUGGGGAAACCCAGUGUGUUUCGACACACUAUCAUUAACUGAAUCCAUAGGUUAAUGAGGCGAACCGGGGGAACUGAAACAUCUAAGUACCCCGAGGAAAAGAAAUCAACCGAGAUUCCCCCAGUAGCGGCGAGCGAACGGGGAGGAGCCCAGAGCCUGAAUCAGUGUGUGUGUUAGUGGAAGCGUCUGGAAAGGCGCGCGAUACAGGGUGACAGCCCCGUACACAAAAAUGCACAUGCUGUGAGCUCGAUGAGUAGGGCGGGACACGUGGUAUCCUGUCUGAAUAUGGGGGGACCAUCCUCCAAGGCUAAAUACUCCUGACUGACCGAUAGUGAACCAGUACCGUGAGGGAAAGGCGAAAAGAACCCCGGCGAGGGGAGUGAAAAAGAACCUGAAACCGUGUACGUACAAGCAGUGGGAGCCCUGAUUUAUCAGGGUGACUGCGUACCUUUUGUAUAAUGGGUCAGCGACUUAUAUUCUGUAGCAAGGUUAACCGAAUAGGGGAGCCGGAGGGAAAAACCGAGUCUUAACUGGGCGUUAAGUUGCAGGGUAUAGACCCGAAACCCGGUGAUCUAGCCAUGGGCAGGUUGAAGGUUGGGUAACACUAACUGGAGGACCGAACCGACUAAUGUUGAAAAAUUAGCGGAUGACUUGUGGCUGGGGGUGAAAGGCCAAUCAAACCGGGAGAUAGCUGGUUCUCCCCGAAAGCUAUUUAGGUAGCGCCUCGUGAAUUCAUCUCCGGGGGUAGAGCACUGUUUCGGCAAGGGGGUCAUCCCGACUUACCAACCCGAUGCAAACUGCGAAUACCGGAGAAUGUUAUCACGGGAGACACACGGCGGGUGCUAACGUCCGUCGUGAAGAGGGAAACAACCCAGACCGCCAGCUAAGGUCCCAAAGUCAUGGUUAAGUGGGAAACGAUGUGGGAAGGCCCAGACAGCCAGGAUGUUGGCUUAGAAGCAGCCAUCAUUUAAAGAAAGCGUAAUAGCUCACUGGUCGAGUCGGCCUGCGCGGAAGAUGUAACGGGGCUAAACCAUGCACCGAAGCUGCGGCAGCGACACUGUGUGUUGUUGGGUAGGGGAGCGUUCUGUAAGCCUGCGAAGGUGUGCUGUGAGGUAUGCUGGAGGUAUCAGAAGUGCGAAUGCUGACAUAAGUAACGAUAAAGCGGGUGAAAAGCCCGCUCGCCGGAAGACCAAGGGUUCCUGUCCAACGUUAAUCGGGGCAGGGUGAGUCGACCCCUAAGGCGAGGCCGAAAGGCGUAGUCGAUGGGAAACAGGUUAAUAUUCCUGUACUUGGUGUUACUGCGAAGGGGGGACGGAGAAGGCUAUGUUGGCCGGGCGACGGUUGUCCCGGUUUAAGCGUGUAGGCUGGUUUUCCAGGCAAAUCCGGAAAAUCAAGGCUGAGGCGUGAUGACGAGGCACUACGGUGCUGAAGCGACAAAUGCCCUGCUUCCAGGAAAAGCCUCUAAGCAUCAGGUAACAUCAAAUCGUACCCCAAACCGACACAGGUGGUCAGGUAGAGAAUACCAAGGCGCUUGAGAGAACUCGGGUGAAGGAACUAGGCAAAAUGGUGCCGUAACUUCGGGAGAAGGCACGCUGAUAUGUAGGUGAAGCGACUUGCUCGUGGAGCUGAAAUCAGUCGAAGAUACCAGCUGGCUGCAACUGUUUAUUAAAAACACAGCACUGUGCAAACACGAAAGUGGACGUAUACGGUGUGACGCCUGCCCGGUGCCGGAAGGUUAAUUGAUGGGGUCAGCGCAAGCGAAGCUCUUGAUCGAAGCCCCGGUAAACGGCGGCCGUAACUAUAACGGUCCUAAGGUAGCGAAAUUCCUUGUCGGGUAAGUUCCGACCUGCACGAAUGGCGUAAUGAUGGCCAGGCUGUCUCCACCCGAGACUCAGUGAAAUUGAACUCGCUGUGAAGAUGCAGUGUACCCGCGGCAAGACGGAAAGACCCCGUGAACCUUUACUAUAGCUUGACACUGAACACUGGUCCUUGAUGUGUAGGAUAGGUGGGAGGCUUUGAAGUGUGGACGCCAGUCUGCAUGGAGCCGUCCUUGAAAUACCACCCUUUAAUGGCUGGUGUUCUAACGUGGGCCCGUAAUCCGGGUUGCGGACAGUGUCUGGUGGGUAGUUUGACUGGGGCGGUCUCCUCCUAAAGAGUAACGGAGGAGCACGAAGGUUGGCUAAUCCUGGUCGGACAUCAGGAGGUUAGUGCAAUGGCAUAAGCCAGCUUGACUGCGAGCGUGACGGCGCGAGCAGGUGCGAAAGCAGGUCAUAGUGAUCCGGUGGUUCUGAAUGGAAGGGCCAUCGCUCAACGGAUAAAAGGUACUCCGGGGAUAACAGGCUGAUACCGCCCAAGAGUUCAUAUCGACGGCGGUGUUUGGCACCUCGAUGUCGGCUCAUCACAUCCUGGGGCUGAAGUAGGUCCCAAGGGUAUGGCUGUUCGCCAUUUAAAGUGGUACGCGAGCUGGGUUUAGAACGUCGUGAGACAGUUCGGUCCCUAUCUGCCGUGGGCGCUGGAGAACUGAGGGGGGGCUGCUCCUAGUACGAGAGGACCGGAGUGGACGCAUCACUGGUGUUCGGGUUGUCAUGCCAAUGGCACUGCCCGGUAGCUAAAUGCGGAAGAGAUAAGUGCUGAAAGCAUCUAAGCACGAAACUUGCCCCGAGAUGAGUUCUCCCUGAGACUUAGAGUCUCCUGAAGGAACGUUGAAGACGACGACGUUGAUAGGCCGGGUGUGUAAGCGCAGCGAUGCGUUGAGCUAACCGGUACUAAUGAACCGUGAGGCUUAACCUU